UGGGGAAUAUUGGACAAUGGGCGAAAGCCUGAUCCAGCCAUGCCGCGUGAGUGAUGAAGGCCCUAGGGUUGUAAAGCUCUUCAACGGUGAAGAUAAUGACGGUAACCGUAGAAGAAGCCCCGGCUAACUUCGUGCCAGCAGCCGCGGUAAUACGAAGGGGGCUAGCGUUGUUCGGAUUUACUGGGCGUAAAGCGCACGUAGGCGGAUUGUUAAGUUAGGGUGAAAUCCCAGGGCUCAACCCUGGAACUGCCUCUAAUACUGGCAAUCUCGAGUCCGGAAGAGGUGAGUGGAAUUCCGAGUGUAGAGGUGAAAUUCGUAGAUAUUCGGAGGAACACCAGUGGCGAAGGCGGCUCACUGGUCCGGUACUGACGCUGAGGUGCGAAAGCGUGGGGAGCAAACAGGAUUAGAUACCC
rnacentral:rRNA from 1 species